UUCUAUUAUUCCAUACUGUUC
rnacentral:piRNA from 1 species